UACGUAGGGUGCAAGCGUUAAUCGGAAUUACUGGGCGUAAAGCGUGCGCAGGCGGUUUUGUAAGUCAGAUGUGAAAUCCCCGGGCUUAACCUGGGAACUGCGUUUGAAACUACAAGGCUAGAGUGUGGCAGAGGGGGGUGGAAUUCCACGUGUAGCAGUGAAAUGCGUAGAGAUGUGGAGGAACACCGAUGGCGAAGGCAGCCCCCUGGGUUAAC
rnacentral:rRNA from 1 species